AAUGAACGCUGGCGGCGUGCGUAACACAUGCAAGUCGAACGAGAAAUUCCGAGCUUGCUCGGGAGUGUAAAGUGGCGAACGGGUGAGUAACGCGUGGACAACCUGCCCCUGAAUCUGGAAUAACUUCGCGAAAGCGAGGCUAACACCGGAUAUUGUCCCAGGGACUGUGGUCCUUGUGAUGAAAGAUGACCUCUUUACGAAAGUUGUCGUUCAGGGAGGGGCCGGCGUACCAUUAGCUAGUUGGUAGGGUAAUGGCCUACCAAGGCGAUGAUGGUUAGCUGGUCUGGGAGGAUGACCAGCCACACUGGCACUGAAACACGGGCCAGACUCCUACGGGAGGCAGCAGUGAGGAAUUCUGCGCAAUAGGGGAAACCCUGACGCAGCAACGCCGUGUGAGUGAAGAAGGCCCUCGGGUCGUAAAGCUCUGUCAAGUGGGAAAAAAGCUUGUCGGUGAACAGCCGGCAAGACUGAUGGUACCAUUGAAGGAAGCACCGGCUAACUCCGUGCCAGCCGCCGCCGUAAUAC
rnacentral:rRNA from 1 species